CCUGGUGGCCACACCUCCGGGCUGGGCCAUCACCUGCACACCUGCUUUCCAUUCUGGGCAAUUACCUGGAGGACUAUUUAACCCACGCUGACGGAUGCUCCACGCCAGUCCGUUAAUCACCCCUCAGGGGGUACGAUCCGCCGUUUGUGUCUGCUACCUGCUUGUCCUCCUGCUUGCGAGCAGUGCAUCAUCUGACCUCAUCCUUGCCUCCUCGGAUUCGCUUCCCACGGAAGACUUCCCCCCCUUCCGAGUCCCACUGUCCAGCUCUGAUCCCUCCCAUGGUCCUGAUUAUGGCUUCCCUGUGUCGUUUAUCUUCCCAUUUUUUCUUCAGUUCCUCGUUUUGUUUCUUUGGUUGUUCCGGGUCACCUUUUUGUUAAAGCAAUAAACUGUUUUCUUGCUCGCAUUUGA